rnacentral:rRNA from 1 species
GAUGAACGCUGGCGGCGUGCCUAAUACAUGCAAGUCGAGCGAACAGACGAGGAGCUUGCUCCUCUGACGCUAGCGGCGGACGGGUGAGUAACACGUGGAUAACCUACCUAUAAGACUGGGAUAACUUCGGGAAACCGGAGCUAAUACCGGAUAAUAUAUUGAACCGCAUGGUUCAAUAGUGAAAGACGGUUUUGCUGUCACUUAUAGAUGGAUCAGCGCCGCAUUAGCUAGUUGGUAAGGUAACGGCUUACCAAGGCAACGAUGCGUAGCCGACCUGAGAGGGUGAUCGGCCACACUGGAACUGAGACACGGCCCAGACUCCGACGGGAGGCAGCAGUAGGGAAUCUUCCGCAAUGGGCGAAAGCCUGACGGAGCAACGCCGCGUGAGUGAUGAAGGUCUUCGGAUCGUAAAACUCUGUUAUUAGGGAAGAACAAAUGUGUAAGUAACUAUGCACGUCUUGACGGUACCUAAUCAGAAAGCCACGGCUAACUACGUG